rnacentral:lncRNA from 1 species
UCUCCCCGAUGGCUGUAUUAACGCAGCGCGCAGCGGCUCGGUCUUUCGGUCCCGGCCUUGGUGGCCGAUCCACCCGAGCCGGUCCCCACUGCCCAGCCGUGCUGCUGCCUCGGACACAAGCGCAGGUUGAAAACUACAAUAAACCCGUGACUGGCUCCAAGGUGAAGUACUCUUGCAUGUAGUGACCAGGCUUGCCUGUAUUCCACUUAGGAUUAGUAUCGAAGCUGAAAUAGGUGAAGUCCAGAGGGCCAUGUGAGUUUCCUUGAAUGGCCUUGUAACUGAUUACCCUGAAGGUAGUUUCCUAAAGGUUUUAAUCAAUGUACUAGGAUCCUGCCCCACCCCUUCUGCAUGUCCCACUGCCCUAGAAUCAGAUCUGCAUGGCUAUGACAUGCUCGCCGUUUUAAAGAUGCAAAGAUUUCAUGCUAGAUCAUUAGAAUGUAUCUGGACUUCUUUAGGACAAGUUCUUUGCUAGUAACCAGUCACGUGCUAGCAAUUGAGGUGUGUUAACCUGUAUAUUGUUGCCUAUGAAUAAUUUUCCAUAAGCUUUAAUAAAGGCUUCCUGUGUCAAUUCUA